UAAUCGACACAUAAUGAUUAAUGUUUAAAGGCCCAAAGAGCACAACCAAUGGGCUUUGAAGAAACCCUAAUAUCCUUCCCGUCUUGCUACAAUAGAUAACCAACUACAACACGAUCGGGACCUCAAACCACGUUCACUGCCAACCUACUUCGUCCCCUCACAACCCUCUAUCGCAUAACGCACAUCAUUCGGAACUUUUUUCAACCCUCUCAACUCUAUAUCUUUGUUUUUUGAUGUGAACGGUUGCAAAGAAAGCUUUAGCACAAGUGGUUCCAACCGGAAGACUUGCAGAUGUAGUCGCGUGUUUGAGACAAAUUAUAAACAAAGCAUUAUAAAAAUGUAAAACAGUUUUUAAGGCAAUGAAAGUUCGGGAGAAGGCGAAAAUGUGGAAGAGACUAUUCAAGAACAGAACAUGACUUCAAUUGACAUUAGGCCGAGUGAAAGCACAUAUAAUAAAUAUGUUAUCUAGAAAUAUGGAGAGGAUACUAUCUUACAUCCAGAAAUUGACAUGGAACAAGAUAAAAUAGAGAAACAUGCUUUGCUGGAGAAAAUUGAAGAAAGUGCGAAGAUGUAUGCCGGAAUGAAUAAGAAAAUUCAAUUGUUGUCACAAAACCCACCACCAACUUAAGAUAUCUUGCUAUGUUUGAUUAAAAAUUCAAUUGUAUUGCUUUUGAUAAUUUGGAUCUUUUUGUCAUGAGUUUUUUUAUAUUUAUUGAUAUGAUAUAUGGUUUGAGUAUUUAUCUUUA